GAUGAACGCUGACAGAAUGCUUAACACAUGCAAGUCUUUGGCGAAGCUGUGCUCGCACAGCCUAGCCAAGGCGGACGGGUGAGUAACGCGUAAGGAACUUGCCCUGCAGUCAGGGAUAACAGACGGAAACGACUGAUAAGACCUGGUAAAGUCAGGCGGACUCAUGUCCAGCCUGAUGAAAAGAGAUGCUGCAGGAGAGCCUUGCGUCCUAUUAGCUUGUUGGUGGGGUAACGGCCCACCAAGGCGAUGAUAGGUAGCCGGCCUGAGAGGGUGGACGGCCACAAGGGGACUGAGAUACGGCCCUUACUCCUACGGGAGGCAGCAGUGGGGAAUAUUGGACAAUGGGGGCAACCCUGAUCCAGCAAUUCUGUGUGCACGAUGAAGGUUUUCGGAUUGUAAAGUGCUUUCAGCAGGGAAGAAAAAAAUGACGGUAUCUGCAGAAGAAGCGACGGCUAAAUACGUG
rnacentral:rRNA from 1 species